AAAACUUAUUGAUGAAGAUGACCCGAUAUUUUUGGUGAAGAGCUUCUUUCAGACUCCUUCCCCUACAAGGAACUAUUGAAUGGGUUCCUAUGAGAAGUUGAAGAAAAGUUAUGGAUAAUGAAAACAAUGCUCCUUCGUUAUUAAAGUCGAUUGAGGACUAUGAUCCUAUAUUUUUCGAAUUGUUCGUCGACCAAAAACAGGUGUUUAUUUUGGAUGGUCCGGAGUUUUUGGCUGCAACUAUGUUGGACAGAGAUAUGCUUGCUAUUGCUGUAAAUUGGUACCAUGUCGGUUGGUUUUGCUUGGUAAGAUUUGUGACGAUGCGUCGGACAAACCACAUUGGGAAAAUAUACAGCCU